CUCUCGCAGGGACGCCGCCACGACGUGCGCCUAGCAACGGCCUCCGCGCCGUACUCUCGUUUCCAGGUUGCGCCGUCGCCCUGUUGCGCCCGCGAAACACGCCGGCCAAACAUGGAGGAAAAAACAACUCAGUGCGCGCCACGGAGAAACUUCCUCUGUGGUGCGCGCCGACUGCGCAUUUUUACGUGCGGCAUGUUCGGCGCCUGCGCGUUGUCGCCACUUCAAGAAAGCCAAUAUGGGGAAAACACGACGCUCCGUGCACCUUUGUUUCUGGUAGGAGCAGCUCGGAAAGAGUUGCAAGUUUAGUUUGACUGUGAUGCUACUAAGGUACUGUACCACCGAACAUUAGGGCUUAUGAUCUGCCCUGCCCGUCCGUCGAGAUGUCUAAGCGCGUUUGGACGCCAUCGAGGAACGACGAGGUACCACACAUCACGAAGUGGAAGUAUUGUAAGAAAAAGGAAAAUGAAAAAGAAAUACUGUGUUCUGGGCGCCUUCUGCACGCAAACUUCUGCUUUGUCGUAAGCACUUGGGUUUCGCGUACGUGUUCGUCAACUACAAGCAACCGCAUGCGAGUGCCCGCGCGAUCUGCAGAAACUCGCAUUUAUCUGGAAUGAACUUUUCUUAUGUAUGCGCUGGUGUGAAGCCAAUAAAACAAGUGCGAGAGAGGCGGCAAGCCGCUUGAAGAGCUCUGUUCAAAGGAUCCUUCACAGGAUGGUCGACAUUCUCCUCGCCAUGAGUCUAUCUGACAGAACGACUGUCCAGUGAAUUAAGGAUGCGCCAUACUUUGUGGAACACCAUCCUGCAAAGCAGUACGAAUUUAGAAUUUCAGUGACAGCAACGAAAGGGGUCUGCUUUGCCUGCAAAUGCCAUUUGAUCAAAAGAAAAAUACACCAGUUACUUGAGCACUUACUAGGUACCUGCACAAAUCUCCUUGCAGUGCGUUUAACCCUUUUAGACGCUUUGUACACAAUUGUGUACAUCACUUAUUUUUGCUAGUUGUGUCAACUAGGGGCUAAAAAAGUGCAAGAUACAAUGAAGUUUAGAUGAAAUAAUCAACCUCCUCCCUAAUAAACAUGUCUUUAACUUCAGUUUUCACA